rnacentral:lncRNA from 1 species
UCUGGAAUUCCAUCCCAUCACUGUAGGUGGUUUUAUUGGUGGAAGUGGGAUUUUUGGCACAUUUAUGGCACAGCCUGGCUUUGGGACCAUGAUUCUGGAAUUCCAUCCCAGCAUCACUGUAGGUGGUUUUUUGGGGGGAACUGGGACCCAGCAUCACUGUAGGUGGAUUUUUGGUGGAACUGGGAUUCCUGGCACAUUCCUGGCACAUUCCUGUCACAUUCCUGGCACAUUCCUGGCACAGCCUGGCUCUGGGGCCGUGCUGGAGGGGCUGGAAGGCCCCAGUCCCUCCUUGCAGGGAUGUGGGAGGUGGGAGCAGCUCCGAGGGAAGGGAAAUCCCAGUUUUCCAGGGUUACUGGUGCAGCUGGGAGGCUCUGGGAUGUGCCAUAAACAGGGUGGCAGGUCAGGGCUGCAGGACAGGGUGAGGAGGUGAGGCUGGGAAUGUUGGGAAUGAUGGGCUGGGAAUGUCAGGGAUGGGAAUUUGAGAAUUGGGAAUGUCAGGGCUGGGAAUGAUGGGAUUUGGAAUAUUGGGAAUGAUGGGCUGGGAAUUUGAGAAUUGGGAAUGUCAGGACUGGGAAUUUCAGGAUUGGGAAUGAUGGGAAUGUCAGGAUUGGGGAUGUCAGGGUUGGAAAUUUCAGGAUUGGGAAUGUCAGGGCUGGGAAUGUCAGGGUUGGGAAUUUCAGGAUUGGGAGUGUCAGGGGUGGGAAUGUUAGGGUUAGGAAUGUCAGGAUUGGGGAUGUCAGGGUUGGAAAUUUCAGGAUUGGGAAUGUCAGGGCUGGGAAUGUCAGGGUUGGGAAUUUCAGGAUUGGGAGUGUCAGGGGUGGGAAUGUUAGGGUUAGGAAUGUCAGGACUGGGAAUGUCAGGAUUGGGAAUUUCAGGAUUGGGAAUGUCAGGGGAAUUUCAGGGUUGGGAAUGUCAGGGCUGGGAAUGUCAGGGCUGGGAAUGCCAGGGUUGGGAAUGUCAGGAUUGGGAACUUCAAGAUUGGGAAUGUCAGGGUUUGGAAUGAUGGGCUGGGAAUGAUGGGCUGGGAAUGCCAGGGUUGGGAGUUUCAGGAUUGGGAAUGCUCAAACUCCAUGGCUGCAGAUCCGGGUGACUGCGGGGCACCAACAGGACAAAAUGCAAUUUUAGGGAACAGAAAGCCCAGGACGGUGCAACUCCCCGACUCUUAAAUACAAUCAGCACUUAAUUAAAGCACGCCGACGGUUUUUAAUUGCCCUGAUCCCCCCGGGACAGGCCCCGGGAAGGGGAGCGCGGUGCCUGCUCUGGAUUACAGCAGUGCCUGGCGCUGGUGGGGAGCGCAGCUCGAACAAAGCCGCUCUGAAAAGCAGAUCCAGGCUUUUUCCGAGGGUUUUUUCCAUCCCGCCGGACACGGGAAGAGACAUUUCCCUUCUCCCCCCCCCUCCGGGGGGGGGGGGGGGGGGGGGGGGGGGGGGGGGGGGGGGGGGGGGGGGGGGGGGGGGGGGGGGGGGGGGGGGGGGGGGGGGGGGGGGGGGGGGGGGGGGGGGGGGGGGGGG